UACAGAGGGUGCGAGCGUUAAUCGGAAUUACUGGGCGUAAAGCGCGCGUAGGCGGCUUUGCAAGGCGAGUUUGAAAUCCCCAGGCUUAACCUGGGAACUGCAUUCGAGACUGCAUGGCUAGAGUAUGGGAGAGGGAAGUGGAAUUUCAGGUGUAGCGGUGAAAUGCGUAGAUAUCUGAAGGAACAUCAGUGGCGAAAGCGACUUCCUGGACCAAUACUGACGCUCAUGUGCGAAAGCGUGGGGAGCAAACAGG
rnacentral:rRNA from 1 species